rnacentral:pre_miRNA from 1 species
UGGAGUGUGACAAUGGAAACGCGAGCUUUGGUUAACACAGACUCGGGA